UAAAUCAGGAUCAGAUUAA
rnacentral:piRNA from 1 species